CAGCGCCUCCCUCAGAUCGGCCCCGCCCCCGGCCCUGUCCAGCCCACGUGGUGCCGCCGCCGCUACCGCCGCCGCGCUUCAACAACAACUUUAUUGGGAGCGCAGGUCUACGGAAAAACAGGGUUUCCCAUUGGUAAGGGAGUCAAGAAAGAAAGAGAGGACAAAGAGAGGAGAGAGAGAAGGGAGAGAGGAGAGAGAGAGAAGAGAGAAACUUCCACAAGGCCAGGGACCAGUUCUGGCUGGUUGUUUGCUCACCUUGAGUUCCAGAGACUAAAUCUUGAAACAAUAUAGGCAUCUGUGGAAAUCUCCACCAGGAGAUUGCUUCAAGGCUACAGUUAAUUUAUAACUCAGCCCAGCCCGAGAUGAUGCCAGCCCAUUCACCAGAUGGGCAGUAACUCAAGACAAGUCAUCAGAACUCGUCAUGAAGACCUGCACUGCCUCACCCCUUGCAUACCCUCCAUGCCAAAACUUCUUAAAGCCUCGCAUUUCGCUUGGAAAUGUGAAGCAGUUCCAUUAAAGCAAAAGCCUGGAUCGUUUUUCCCCACUGCUAGCUUUGGUUUAUAAUAAAGUCAGUCUCCUUCUACCGUA